UAAAACCGAGUAAAACCGAGUAAAACCGAACCUCGCUCAUCACUAUCAGAAAGCCUCGGUGUUAUAUUGAAGUUUCCAUCAUGCAUGUAUGAACAAGUUUUGUCGCAUUAUACUGUUUGUAUAAACUACUGUACUUCUCAGCUGCUUGAGAGAUACCCCUGAUGAAGUCUUUUGUAUAAGACUAAACGCGUUGGGUUGUCUGUGUUGUGAAGCUAUCUCCGAACCAACUAUAAGGAGAAGGAGGAGAUUGUUGUGAUCCUUCAACAUUUGUAUUCAGCGCUAAGAGUCAUACAUCUUAAAGUGUGGAAUAAUAUAUCUCCUCUGUAUUAAUUUGAAUAUGUUUUUAAUAAAUGUUUUAUGAUGGAA